rnacentral:rRNA from 1 species
UACGUAGGGUGCAAGCGUUGUUCGGAUUUACUGGGCGUAAAGGGCGCGUAGGCGGCAAAUUAAGUCAGCUGUGAAAUCUCCGAGCUUAACUCGGAACUGUCAGCUGAUACUGAUCUGCUAGAGUGCGGAAGGGGCAAUCGGAAUUCUUGGUGUAGCGGUGAAAUGCGUAGAUAUCAAGAGGAACACCUGAGGUGAAGACGGGUUGCUGGGCCGACACUGACGCUGAGUGCGCGAAAGCCAGGGGAGCAAACGGG